AUUUUAAAAAUUAUUUUCUGAAGUAGGUAAUAUGUUAUGUAGUACAAAAUCCUAAAGGUAUAAAAGGGUAUAAAGUGAAAAGUAAGUCUUCCUUUUUUUCUCUUCUCACUCACUCAUUUUUUUUCCUAUCAAAGUAAUUACUGUUGACCUUUUUUUGUGAAUUCUUCUAGAGCUAUCCAUACAUUUAAUAUUCACACGCACGUACAUAAAUGGUAGCAUACUAUACACUCUGUUCUACAGGGUACAUUUUUUGUUAAUGUAUUUUAGUUUGUUUCAUCUCAUUACAGAUAGAGUGGUCUCACUCUUUUUGACUACUAGAUGUGCUGUAAUUUGUUUAGCCAGUCCCUUACUAAUAGAUUUUUAAAUUGUUUCCAGCCCAUUGUCAACAGGACUGCAGUGAAUAUUCUUGUACAUUAUUUUGUAUGUCUGUGAGCGUAUUUGCUAGAUAAAUAUUAAGAAUUGGAAUUGCUGGGUCAAAAGGAGAUGUAUCUUUUAGGUUUGUAGUGAAUCUCGUGGGCAUAUUCUUAUCUCAACAGAAGAAUCCUUGAUAUGACGAAGAGAAAAUGAAGUGGAGUGAUUAGGACAGAAAGGCAUUUGGCAAUGUCUGAAGAAAUCUUUGGAUGUCACAACUGAAAGAGGCCAGGGAUGCUACAAAACACCCUACAAUGCACAGGACAGUCUCCUACAACAAAGAAUUAUCCAGAAUGCCAAAGUUGGCCCUGGGCUAAACUAAUCUAUGCUGUUAGCGGUAAGAAUGAUGGUUCUCCUUGGGUGGAAAGGGGCAUGAUUGUGGCUCUGAGUGGCUGCUAAUGUUUUGUUCUUGAUUUUGGUGCUGGUUACAUGGGUGUGUUCAGUUUGUGGAAAAUUCAUUGAGCUGUACACUUAUAUUUGUGCACCUUUCUGUAGGUAUUCUAUACUUCAAUCAAAAAUUUACCAAAAAAUCAGACUUCACAUAAAAAUCCAGGAUGAAGACUUCUUUUGAAAGAUAUGACAGUCUGGUAACUCCCACAGCUGUAACUAAUAAGCAGCAGCCUCCCUUUAGUUGGGGCCUGUGUUCCCCAGGCCCCGUUUUCCUGUUUUGGUUACUUGUAUCACCUCACUGGUAUCCAGACAUUUAAAAAAUGCCCUAAACAGCUUGAGAUAUAAUUCACACACCAUACAGUUCACCUAUUUAAAGUGUACAAUUAAAUGUUUUUAGUAUAUUCACAGGGUUGUGUAGCCAUGUAGCCAUCACCACAAUCUAAUUUUAGAAUUUUUUUUUUUUUUUUUUUUUGUGAGGAAGAUCAGCCCUGAGGUAACAUCCAUGCCAAUCCUCCUCUUUUUUGGUGAGGAAGACCGGCCCUGAGCUAACAUAAUUUUAGAAUAUUUUCAUUCUCCCCAAAAUAAGCCCCAUACGUUUUAGUAGUCACUCCCUAUUCCCCCCUCCUCAGGCCUAGGCAACCACUAAUCUACUUUUUGUUUCUAUAUAAUUGUAGACAUUUGAAUUUUGUGA